CAUGAAGCUGGAUUCGCUAGUAAUCGCGCAUCAGCCACGGCGCGGUGAAUACGUUCCCCGGGCCCUUGUACACACCGCCCGUCAAGCCAUGGAAGCCGGGAGUGCCUGAAGUGCGUGAGCGCAAGCAGCGCCCUAAGGUAAAACCGGUGACUGGGGCUAAGUCGUAACAAGGUACC
rnacentral:rRNA from 1 species